GACGAACCGUCCAAACGUUAUUCGGAAUUACUGGGCUUAAAGGGUGCGUAGGCGGUGUUACAAGUCGGGUGUGAAAUCCCUCAGCUUAACUGAGGAACUGCGCCCGAUACUGUAGUGCUAGAGGGAGGCAGGGGUGAGCGGAACUGAUGGUGGAGCGGUGAAAUGUGUUGAUAUCAUCAGGAACACCGGUGGCGAAGGCGGCUCACUGGGCCUUUACUGACGCUGAGGCACGAAAGCUAGGGGAGCAAACGGG
rnacentral:misc_RNA from 1 species